rnacentral:lncRNA from 1 species
AACUUCUUCCUGCGUUGACCGAAGGUGAAUCAAACGGUAAAAUGUUGUACACGUGUCGGUCAUGUUAGCCGUCAAGCUACUCCUACUAUGGCGAGGUAUGCUAUGUGGCCGACCACCCUAAGGCCAUUUGUCCAAAGUGCCAUAACUUCAUUUCCAAACCCAUGACUUAUGUUGCUCGACCGGCAGUUCCAACGGGCGACAAGGGAGGUGGGUUUGUGAGAGAGGCUGUGACUUACAUGAUAACGGAUGAUUUGGUAGUGAAGCCUAUGUCUAUACCGACUAUUAAACCCAUAUCAAAUUAAUUGAUCUUCAUAAUUGCAUAUCUAAAUCCAUAUUAAAAGAGUACAGCCAAG